rnacentral:rRNA from 1 species
UACGGGGGGGGCAAGCGUUGUUCGGAAUUACUGGGCGUAAAGGGCUCGUAGGCGGCCAACUAAGUCGGAUGUGAAAUCCCCAGGCUCAACCUGGGAACUGCAUCCGAUACUGGAUGGCUUGAAUUCGGGAGAGGGAUGCGGAAUUCCAGGUGUAGCGGUGAAAUGCGUAGAUAUCUGGAGGAACACCGGUGGCGAAGGCGGCAUUCUGGACCGACAUUGACGCUGAGGAGCGAAAGCCAGGGGAGCAAACGGG